CUAGCCGUAAACGAUGGAUACUAGGCGUUGUGAGUAUCGACCCUCACAGUGUCGUAGCUAACGCGUUAAGUAUCCCGCCUGGGGAGUACGCGCGCAAGCGUGAAACUCAAAGGAAUUGACGGGGGCCCGCACAAGCGGUGGAGUAUGUGGUUUAAUUCGAUGCAACGCGAAGAACCCUACCAGGACUUGACAUGUCGCGAAUCUCAGGGAAACUUGAGAGUGCCUUCGGGAGCGCGAACACAGGUGGUGC
rnacentral:rRNA from 1 species